rnacentral:tRNA from 1 species
AGUCAUGGCUCAGUGGAAGAGCCACUGCUCAGCACGCAGGAGGUACCAGGUUCAAUCCCCGGCAUCACUA